UACGUAGGUGGCGAGCGUUGUCCGGAUUUACUGGGCGUAAAGAGCGCGCAGGCGGUCGUUCAAGUCGCGUGUGAAAGCCCCCGGCUCAACUGGGGAGGGUCACGCGAUACUGAUCGACUCGAAGGCAGGAGAGGGAAGUGGAAUUCCCGGUGUAGUGGUGAAAUGCGUAGAUAUCGGGAGGAACACCAGAGGCGAAGGCGGCGACCUGGACAGAUACUGACACUCAACUACGAAAGCGUGGGGAGCAAACAGG
rnacentral:rRNA from 1 species